rnacentral:rRNA from 1 species
GAUGAACGCUGGCUACAGGCUUAACACAUGCAAGUCGAGGGGAAACGACGGGGAAGCUUGCUUCCCCGGGCGUCGACCGGCGCACGGGUGAGUAACGCGUAUCCAACCUGCCUCUGACUGAGGGAUAACCCGUCGAAAGUCGGCCUAAUACCUCAUGGCAUCGUCUGCGGGCAUCCAACGACGAUUAAAGAUUUCAUCGGUCAGAGAUGGGGAUGCGUCUGAUUAGCUUGUUGGCGGGGUAACGGCCCACCAAGGCGACGAUCAGUAGGGGUUCUGAGAGGAAGGUCCCCCACAUUGGAACUGAGACACGGUCCAAACUCCUACGGGAGGCAGCAGUGAGGAAUAUUGGUCAAUGGGCGAGAGCCUGAACCAGCCAAGUAGCGUGCAGGAUGACGGCCCUAUGGGUUGUAAACUGCUUUUAUGCGGGGACAAAGUGAGGGACGUGUCCUUCAUUGCAGGUACCGCAUGAAUAAGGACCGGCUAAUUCCGUG